UCCCUGGGGGACUAGUGGUUUGGCCACAGCGUUCUCAUGGCUGCGGCUUGGGUUCGAGUCCCAGCCAGGGAA